rnacentral:rRNA from 1 species
GCACAAGCAGCGGAGCGUGUGGUUUUAAUUCGUUGCUACACGAAGAACCUUACCUGGGUUUGACAUAUAAGUUGUAGGGAACUGAAAAGGGACCGACCUUCGGGGAGCUUAUACAGGUGUUGCAUGGCUGUCGUCAGCUCGUGUCGUGAGAUGUUCGGUUAAGUCCGCUAACGAGCGCAACCCUCGCCGUAUGUUACAAGUGUCAUACGGGACUGCCGGUAAAAGCCGGAGGAAGGUGAGGAUGAUGUCAAGUCAGCAUGACCUUUAUAUCCAGGGCUACACACACGCUACAAUGGUCUGUACAAUUGGUUGCCAAGCCGCGAGGCGGAGCCAAUCCGUAAAGCAGGCCUCAGUUCAGAUUGCAGUCUGCAACUCGACUGCAUGAAGCCGGAGUUGCUAGUAACCGCAGGUCAGCAAUACUGCGGUGAAUACGUUCCCGGGUCUU